UUGUCCUUAGGUUUCAUUUUCAUAAAUCUGAGUCAUUUAUAGGCUAGGAUUUUAGUUUGCUAAUGUAGUCCACCAUUGCAACAGAGCUACCUCAACCUAAUGGCCUCCUGGUUUAAUUAAUUUAACAGGGUCCAUCAAGAAAAUUUUAUUGAAACACAUACAUGCUCAUUUGUUGACACAUUGUCCACAGCUAGUUUCACAUUACAACCUGAGUAGAGUUGUUGCAAAGGAGUAUGACCUAAAUGCUUACUAUCCAUUCCUUUGCAGAAACAAUUGCUCACCCCUAGGUAGACCAGUUUGAAAACCUUGGCACUAUUGAUAUUUUGGACCACUUCCCAUCCACCCUUAACAAAAAUGUCUCCAGAUUGAGAACCACAGUUCCAGAUGAUGAGAAUAGCACCCCUGCAAUCUUCACAAGGACCUAAGGACAAUCCAGGUUGCUGAAAGGGUGGGCUAUAGACAAGGCAGUGACCCAGCUUCAACCAUCCCCAAAAGGAGAUCAUCCUAGUGGCAGCAGAGUAAUAAUAUGGAUGACUCUAACUCCCUGGAUUACUUCAUUUAACAAAGCUGCUCCUUUAGGCUUAGAUAGUGAAGUCAAACUAUUACGCCAGAAAUAAACUAUCAUCUUAUUUUAGCAAUCA